rnacentral:ncRNA from 1 species
AACUCACCCAGCCUGGACACUGUAAGGAUUGACAAACACUCUCCCGAUUUGGUGGUUGGCGGUGCAUGGCCUUUCUUAGUUGAUGGAGCGAUUUGUCUGGUUUAUUCUAGAGACUCUUUGAACCACUCUACCAUUACCACAUAAUUUAUAUAAAUUAGAUUUCUGAAUUUUCUUGAGUUUCAUGAAUUUUGAGAUCCAAUUAAGGAUAUAUAAUAUCUAUUAGAACCUGGG